GAACGCUGGCGGCGUGCCUAAUACAUGCAAGUCGAACGCUUUGUGGUUCAACUGAUUUGAAGAGCUUGCUCAGAUAUGACGAUGGACAUUGCAAAGAGUGGCGAACGGGUGAGUAACACGUGGGAAACCUACCUCUUAGCAGGGGAUAACAUUUGGAAACAGAUGCUAAUACCGUAUAACAAUAGCAACCGCAUGGUUGCUACUUAAAAGAUGGUUCUGCUAUCACUAAGAGAUGGUCCCGCGGUGCAUUAGUUAGUUGGUGAGGUAAUGGCUCACCAAGACGAUGAUGCAUAGCCGAGUUGAGAGACUGAUCGGCCACAUUGGGACUGAGACA
rnacentral:rRNA from 1 species